rnacentral:SRP_RNA from 1 species
CUGUGCUUGGACGGGGUGCUAGCGGUGCCCUGUGACCCGCAAUCCGCUAUAGCGGGGUCGACGGCGGGCUGAGGCUUUUGCCCGUUGCGUUCCAAAACCGGCAAGCGGCGUUGAAGGCUGGGUCCCAUACAACAGGACGGUGUGAAUCUGGUCAGAGGCGAGAGCCAGCAGCCAUAAGCAUACGUUCCUGUGUGUUGUGGGGCUGCCUGGCCGGAGCCGGCUACCGGCGGCGGGCGCAGCGCGGCGGGUCGAGACCCGCGUGCACAG